GGACCUCCAGUUUUAGACUUCAUCAAGCAAGCCUGGUUUCAUUUCUUCUUGCUUAGCCUGAUGAACCAGUGUGCUGUACACCACUGUUGGAAACACUGGUACAAAGUUCUGGUACAGAACUCUUUCUGAAUAUUAAUCUCCUGUAUUGCUAUGCCAGAAUCAGAUUCUCCAGAGAAAGAACUUCUAUAUGGAAAGAGGCAGAUUGCUGGAAGGAGUAAAUAAUUCACAGACAACUCAUAAGCCCUGAGCUCUGGUCUGUCUCUGCCAAUUAAAUGCUGUGGAACUUUUGGAAAUGAAGAUGAGAUAAAGGCUUUUCAUACCAACAAAAGUGGAAAGAAUUCAUCAUAAGAAGACUUGAGUGAGAAGAAAUGCUAAGAAAGCUCUUCAAGUAGAAGAAAAUGAUACCAGAUGGAAAUCUGGAUCUCCACAAAGGAACAAAAAGUAUUGAGAAUGGGAACUAUCCUAUGUGGGUAAAUAUGAG
rnacentral:lncRNA from 10 species